UACGUAGGGGGCAAGCGUUGUCCGGAAUCAUUGGGCGUAAAGAGCGUGUAGGCGGCCCGAUAAGUCCGCUGUGAAAGUCCAGGGCUCAACCCUGGGAUGCCGGUGGAUACUGUCGGGCUCGAGUCCGGAAGAGGAGUGUGGAAUUCCGUGGUGUAGCGGUGAAAUGCGCAGAUAUCAGGAGGAACACCAAUGGCGAAGGCAGCACUCUGGGACGUGACUGACGCUGAGACGCGAAAGCGUGGGGGAGCAAACAGG
rnacentral:rRNA from 1 species